rnacentral:lncRNA from 1 species
GUCGAGCUCACGCUCUGACUCAUGUCAACAACCUGCUGGGAAGCGAGUGAGCGAGCGAGGAGGCGGCUGCCGCCCUUGUCUAGUUGGCGUCGUGACCUCCGCUUUGAUGGAGCGAUGCUGGCAACACUUUGUGCCUGUCAUCAAGAAAGAGAAGAUGAAGACGCAGUUGACCCUGGACGCCGCGGAGACGUGCUGCGAGAGCGAAAAGAUCAAAGCUGAUCACGCCUCUGUGCCUGUACCUCACCUUCUCCUGGUGAAAGCAGCACCUGUGUGGACGAUUAAUGGAGUCCUUGAUGCUUAGGACUCAGCCAGAUGACACAGUAAGAUGCAAAGUUGAGGGAAAAGAUGUGCCAGUGAGUCGUCACAGAGUGGAGAGUCACAGGUUGCAGGCCGUUCAUGCGUACGAGCCAUAUCAACCCUGUACCUGUACAGUAAAGUCAUCUUGGGAGCAGUGAUGAAUGUGGACAACAAACCAAAUGUAGCAGGUUCGAAGACUGCAAUGAACAAGGCCAAAAACAUUACCAUACAGUAUGCUUGUCUUGCAUUUAACCUUCAUGUUGUGUAAAUAAAUUCAAUCCAAUUCUCUAUAAGAAACUUGAU